rnacentral:rRNA from 1 species
UGGGGAAUAUUGGACAAUGGGGGGAACCCUGAUCCAGCCAUGCCGCGUGUGUGAAGAAGGCCUUAUGGUUGUAAAGCACUUUAAGCGAGGAGGAGGCUACUUUAGUUAAUACCUAGAGAUAGUGGACGUUACUCGCAGAAUAAGCACCGGCUAACUCUGUGCCAGCAGCCGCGGUAAUACAGAGGGUGCGAGCGUUAAUCGGAUUUACUGGGCGUAAAGCGUGCGUAGGCGGUUUAUUAAGUCGGAUGUGAAAUCCCCGAGCUUAACUUGGGAAUUGCAUUCGAUACUGGUGAGCUAGAGUAUGGGAGAGGAUGGUAGAAUUCCAGGUGUAGCGGUGAAAUGCGUAGAGAUCUGGAGGAAUACCGAUGGCGAAGGCAGCCACCUGGCCAAAUACUGACGCUGAGGUACGAAAGCAUGGGGAGCAAACAGGAUUAGAUACCCUGGUAGUCCACGCCGUAAACGAUGUCGAUUUGGAGGUUGUGCCCUUGAGGCGUGGCUUCCGGAGCUAACGCGUUAAAUCGACCGCCUGGGGAGUACGGCCGCAAGGUUA